UACAGAGGGGGGCAAGCGUUGUUCGGAAUUACUGGGCGUAAAGGGCGCGUAGGCGGCGACCCAAGUCAGAUGUGAAAGUCCUGGGCUUAACCUGGGGACUGCAUUUGAUACUGGGUUGCUUGAAUUCGGGAGAGGAUAGCGGAAUUCCCAGUGUAGAGGUGAAAUUCGUAGAUAUUGGGAAGAACACCGGUGGCGAAGGCGGCUAUCUGGACCGACAUUGACGCUGAGGCGCGAAAGCGUGGGGGAGCAAACAGG
rnacentral:rRNA from 1 species